AUCUAUGGCCAUGCCACUCUGAACGUGUCCAAUCUCAUCUGAUCUCGGAAGCUAAGCAGGGUUAGGCCUGGUUAAUACUUGGAUGGGAGACCACCUAGGAAUACCAGAUGCUGUAGGCG
rnacentral:rRNA from 1 species